rnacentral:rRNA from 1 species
GGUGAACGCUGGCGGCGUGCUUAACACAUGCAAGUCGAACGAAGCACUUUGAUUCGAUUCUUCGGAUGAAGAGCCGGGCGACUGAGUGGCGGACGGGUGAGUAACGCGUGGGUAACCUGCCUCAUACAGGGGGAUAACAGAUAGAAAUGACUGCUAAUACCGCAUAAGACCACAGCACCGCAUGGUGCAGGGGUAAAAACGCCGGUGGUAUGAGAUGGACCCGCGUCUGAUUAGGUAGUUGGUGGGGUAACGGCCGACCAAGCCGACGAUCAGUAGCCGAGCUGAGAGGCGGCCCCGCCACGUUGGGGCUGCGACACGGCCCACUCUGCUACGGGGGGGAGCAGUGGAGUGUAUUGCACGAUGGGGGAAACCCUGAUACAGCGGCGCCGCGUAAGCGAGGAAGUAUUUCGGUAUGUAAAGCUCUAUCAGCAGAGGAGAAAAUGACGGUACCUGACUAAGAAGCACCGGCUAAAUACGUG